rnacentral:lncRNA from 1 species
AGGAGAUGACCUAUCUUCCCUUGGAUAAGAACAAAGAAGCAUGUAGCCUGGUUGCUGCUGUUAGCCAUCUUGUGAACAUGUGGAAGGCCUACCUGAGGAUGGAGCUGAAAAAUGGAGGAGGCAGAGCCAAGAGAAUCACAGAAAUGGAACCAUAUUCCGGAUCAUGCCAUGCCUGAAAUCUCCCUGCCUGUGGACUCUUCAGUUAAUCAAGCCGUCUGGAGCUGUGACAGCCAUCUUGUGACCAUGUGGGGAUGAGCACGAGGAAGAAGACAACAUGUGAAGGAAGAAAGUCAGAAAGAGCCCAAUUUCUUGAUGGCAUCAUUGAGCAGCUGAACCCAUGCCACAGUUCCUGUUAACUUAAAAAAAUAAAUAAAGCCAUAUGUGUUUAAGCCACU